GUGGAUGCCUUGGCACUAGGAGCCGAUGAAGGACGGGACUAACACCGAUAUGCUUCGGGGAGCUGUAAGUAAGCUUUGAUCCGGAGAUUUCCGAAUGGGGGAACCCAGCAUCUUUUGUAGGAUGUUACCUUUAAGUGAAUUCAUAGCUUAUUGGAGGUAGACGCAGAGAACUGAAACAUCUAAGUACCUGCAGGAAGAGAAAGAAAAUUCGAUUCCCUGAGUAGCGGCGAGCGAAACGGGAACAGCCCAAACCAACAAGCUUGCUUGUUGGGGUUGUAGGACUCAAAUGUGGUAGUAAGCAAGAUAGCCGAAUGACUUGGAAAAGUCAGCCAAAGUGGGUGAAAGCCCCGUAGGCAAAAUUUUGUGAGCACCUAUGAGUAUCCUGAGUACGGCGGAACACGAGAAAUUCCGUCGGAAUCUAGGAGGACCAUCUCCUAAGGCUAAAUACUCCCUAGUGACCGAUAGCGAACCAGUACCGUGAGGGAAAGGU
rnacentral:rRNA from 12 species